GCAACGCGAUAUUUCAAAUGCAAACAUUUCUUUCCAUUUCUAAAGUGUGACUCACGUAAUCGCAUGGUGUCGCUUCGCGCUGAUAGUUAUACACGGUGUGCUCUUUAUAUAACUCGUGCGUACCCGGUUCCACUUCAUUCGUUUAGUAUCAUUCUCUUCGUUGUACGCGUACAGCGGCUGUACGCUUCGACAGUGACACCGCGAACCUUUUAAUCUUGACGUGAUUCGGCACCGAUCAAACUGAUUGCGAGGGAUUCCAACAGCUUUCAAGCUCUCUCUCGAAAUUAUUGACCGCGUGUUUCAGGAAAUGCUCUCGUUCAGCAGGCAAACGGCGUCGAAAGAACCAACCAUCGAUGGAUUCGUGUUUGAAAUCGAUCUGCCUUGUCGAUCGUUGAUCACCGCGCUAAUUUUGGCAGGAAGCUUGAACCAUGGUGAAUAACAUUUAAUCGUAACGGAGGUUGGAAGUAGGAAUUCGGAGAUCGGGAUCUGAAACGGUUGCGCCGCUUAGACCAAGGCUACCAGAGAGAACAAGGCGCCGUGGUUCCGUGGAGAAUCUUCCAAGGCGUUUAAAGCACAAAAGUCUGGGAUGAUCCAAUAGCGAGGUGAAUCUCGGUGGAAGUUCCACGAUGGGAUUUCCCUGGGACGGAAACCGCGAGAACGAAUGCCGGGCACGAUCCACGAGGCCGCAUCAUUCACCGACAGAUCGACUGGGACUAUCCGGCGGAGAGGCUCGAAGAAGACGCGCGGGGCCGCGCCGUGGAGGACAGCCUCGCACCAGAAGCUAUCUCGAGACCGGCCUGAUCGGAGCAGCCUGCCUCCCUCGAUUGAUCCACCAGAUUCUUCAUACAAAAACAACAUAUAGUAUUGCUAAGAGGGAUAACGAUCCUCCAGCGGAGCAAGAAUACUGUCGUGACAAGCGACAAAUAUUUUAAUUUACAACAAUUAAGCAGAGAGAGAAAACUUUCCAUCCCGAUAUCAUAACGAAAUUAAUUUAAGAAAUGAAAUCGUUCGUAUAGUUUCAUAGAAUAAUAAUUCGUACAUGUAAUUUAGUCAGAAAUAAACGUGAAAUAUCUACAUGACGAUCGUCGUUCGAAGGU